rnacentral:rRNA from 1 species
AGUGAACGCUGGCGGUAGGCCUAACACAUGCAAGUCGAACGGCAACACAGUAAGAGCUUGCUCUUACGGGUGGCGAGUGGCGGACGGGUGAGGAAUACAUCGGAAUCUACUUUUUCGUGGGGGAUAACGUAGGGAAACUUACGCUAAUACCGCAUACGACCUACGGGUGAAAGCAGGGGAUCUUCGGACCUUGCGCGAUUGAAUGAGCCGAUGUCGGAUUAGCUAGUUGGCGGGGUAAAGGCCCACCAAGGCGACGAUCCGUAGCCGGUCUGAGAGGAUGAUCAGCCACACUGGAACUGAGACACGGUCCAGACUCCCACGGGAGGCAGCAGUGGGGAAUAUUGGACAAUGGGCGCAAGCCUGAUCCAGCCAUACCGCGUGGGUGAAGAAGGCCUUCGGGUUGUAAAGCCCUUUUGUUGGGAAAGAAAAGCAGCAGGUUAAUACCCCGCUGUUCUGACGGUACCCAAAGAAUAAGCACCGGCUAACUUCGUG